rnacentral:rRNA from 1 species
CCUACGGGGGGCAGCAGUGGGGAAUAUUGCACAAUGGGGGAAACCCUGAUGCAGCGACGCCGCGUGAGUGAAGAAGUAUCUCGGUACGUAAAGCUCUAUCAGCAGGGAAGAAAAUGCCGGUACCUGACUAAGAAGCCCCGGCUAACUACGUGCCAGCAGCCGGGGUAAUACGUAGGGGGCCAGCGUUAUCCGGAUUUACUGGGUGUUAAGGGAGCGUAGACGGCAGCACAAGUCUGGAGUGAAAUCCCGGGGCUUAAACCCGGAACUGCUUUGGAAACUGUGCGGCUGGAGUGCAGGAGGGGUAAGCGGAAUUCCUAGUGUAGCGGUGAAAUGCGUAGAUAUUAGGAGGAACACCGGUGGCGAAGGCGGCUUGCUGGACUGUAACUGACGUUGAGGCUCGAAGGCGUGGGGAGCAAACAGGAUUAGAUACCCUUGUAGUC